rnacentral:tRNA from 1 species
GGGGAUGUAGCUCAGUUGGCAGAGCACUUCGUUCGCAACGAAGGGGUCUCCAGUUAGACGCUGGUCAUCUCCACCA